GGACAUAUUGGAUUAAAUCAAUCAUUGCACAGAAUAGGGACUGUAGAACACAUUCUGAUACACUGUAAGAAAUAUGAGGAGGCUAGAAGGAAGUUGGAAAAUCAAGUUGGACAACAAAACAUGACAAUAGAGUAUUUAUUGGGGAAAUCAACUUAUAAGUGUCUAGACUACGUAAUUACAUUCCUAAAAACUACUGGAUUAAUUGACAGAUUAUAAUAUUUUUUUUUUUAAAUCUGCUGCUCACACUCCAGUCCAGUAGGUGGCGGUUAUGCACCUUUAAGAUGGUUUGCCAACCGCCAAUAAAACCGACGAAGAAGAAGAUUAACGCUACCAGAGACGUAAGGUGAUCUUUUUUGUACAUGCUGUGAAAAAGGGUUUAUUUCUCCAACUAAGCCCCUGGCUGACAAAAGGCACAAGCUCUUACGAUGUUUGUCCUAGAAAUGAAAUCGUUCAUAAACAUCAGUUGAGAGUCAGUUGUCAUCUGUUCAGCCGGGGAUGCUACAGUGUGCACUUCAGACGGCUAGGUGGCAAUGUGAAGCACUGACACACAACAACACCAAGUCUGCGCGCCUGCGUACAAACUUCCUAUUACUUCUCUCCCUAGUAGCGCGAAGCGAACAGCAAAAGCUGACAAUUUUGUCUGGACAGACGAAGAGGUGGAGUUAUUGCUCCAAACAACCUUAAAUUACAAAACCACAAAGGCACAUCAGGGCGUGGACUGGGAGUCCUGCCAGUCAAAAUAUACAGACAUAUGGACCGAAUUUCUUCAGCAGUAUCCUAUACCUGGAGGGACAUCAUAUCCACACGAGAAAGACGCUAUUAGCAAAAGUCAGAUAACAUCAAAGCUGAAAGCCAUCCGGAUCAAGUAUAGGCAGGCUGUGGAUACCCAACGGCAGAGUGGCCAUGGGCGAGUAAUCACUCUAUAUUUUGAUUUAUGUAACGAAAUAUGGGGUGGGUCGCCAGCAACCACAGCAAUAGAGGCCGGUGUUGAAACAUCAGAGGUGAACGAAACAGUGGACACUGAUAGUGAGUCAAACGCGAGCAUUACAUCGUCUGAUCUGCCGAACACAAAAUAAUCAAUUGUCAGCCCCCAUACCUCAGCCCAGAAGCGGAGAAAUCUGCUUCAGGUCUGAGAAGACUACACGUUUUUCUCUUGGAAAAUAACAACCAUGCCAGAGAGUCUUCAUUGUGUAAUCGAUGUUUAUAAGAACCUGGCCAACUUUUGUAUCAUAAUAUGCUGGUGGUAACUGGCAGGUGGAGCUCUGGUCAUAGUUGGGUUCAAGACUGAUAACUGGCAGCUGGUUAAACCCAUAUAUUCCCACAGUCAGCUCUCUCACAAUCUGAUGAACAACCUUGUAGUCUAGGGGUAUACGUGAGUCAAUGGGAGCAAGAAUGGUUAUGUUUGGGUCUGGGAUGAUGCCCGGAUGUUUAUCCAGAUGCAGGCUGUGUUCUCCUCCACCGAACAGCCAACUGCAGGUGGUCAUACUGAGUAGCUCCUGCAGGUCCGUGCCGUCGUAUUUCUGCAAUAAAGAGUUUGCAGUCGUCUCACUGCAUAUCUCUGCAUCUAACGGUACAGGGCUCUGGCACACGCUCUCCAUGAUCUGAGGAAAAACUAAAUUCACAGAAACCUUAACGAAAAACUAUCAUUUUAUUUCAAAACAAGGUUUCGGUUAAAAUACUUUGUAAAUGUGUAUGAAUUUGAACCGCGUUGAUCUUGGCAACCAGCGAUGCAUAUCAAUAGGCUUGUUUGAGAUGAGCUAAUUCUGCGCAGAAUCGAUCACCGGUGAUCAGCGCAUGAUGCAUGUCGGUUAGAAAAGUGUCCGACUUGCUCUGAUGUCACGCUGACGUGUGCAAAAUAACUCGCGAUGGAGAGGCGGGCUCAUGCUCGUCGGAUUCUACAGCCGAGCGCAGUUGCUCUCCACCGACUGCGUUGACGAAAAGCACGAUGGGAAAAGACUUGCUGACGACACAGCUUAAUGCUAAUUAGCCUGGGGAUGUCAGCUGAUGACUUCUUAAUUCUAAAAACUCUAAUUCCUGUAGUAGUUUUUACAUUAAUUCAAUUGUUCUUUACUAUGUAAUUUAUAUUUUUAAUGAAUUCCUGUAAACUUU